rnacentral:rRNA from 1 species
UACGUAGGGGGCGAGCGUUGUCCGGAUUUAUUGGGCGUAAAGAGCGUGUAGGCGGUUCGGUAAGUCUGUCGUGAAAUCCUGAGGCUCAACCUCGGGCGUGCGAUGGAUACUGCCGGGCUAGAGGGUGGUAGAGGCGAGUGGAAUUCCCGGUGUAGCGGUGAAAUGCGCAGAUAUCGGGAGGAACACCAGUAGCGAAGGCGGCUCGCUGGGCCACACCUGACGCUGAGA